rnacentral:rRNA from 1 species
UACAGAGGUCUCAAGCGUUGUUCGGAUUCAUUGGGCGUAAAGGGUGCGUAGGCGGCGCGGUAAGUCGGGUGUGAAAUCUCGGGGCUUAACUCCGAAACUGCAUUCGAUACUGCCGUGCUUGAGGACUGGAGAGGAGACUGGAAUUUACGGUGUAGCGGUGAAAUGCGUAGAUAUCGUAAGGAAGACCAGUGGCGAAAGCGGCACCCUAGCAUUUUUCUGACGCUCAUGUGCGAAAGCGUGGGGAGCGAACGGG